rnacentral:lncRNA from 1 species
GGGUUUUUAACUCCUGAAGUUCAAUAGGAGCCAUUCAGUAUGGGGCUUUAGAAAUGGGUUUUGUACUGGGUUAAGGAUCAAUACAAAACUCGAUUUCACGCUCUGGGGGUAGUAUGACGCCCCCAAAAUAGGUAUACAUCACCUAUUCUGAGUCGCCAAAUACAUGGUACAGAAUACAAAUACAAUCUUAAAUAUACAACAUGAGCCAUGAGUUUUAAUACAAAUAUUGUCUUCUAGACAGUAUUCAAACUCAAAAUAGGUCCUCAAUACAUUUAUUAACACACUAUUUCAUAGAAUAGUGAGGACUAGUAAUGCAAUAAUCUGGACCGUCACUCCGUUCCCCGACUAGUCCCUGCUACGUUCUCAUUUCCUGAAGAGAACAAUGAAAGUAAAAGGGUAAGCUCAAAUAGCCCAUUAAGAAAUAUUAUGACUAAGAUAAUGCAGAAUAAAUUAUCGUUAGCCUUCAAUAGUGUUAAACUGAUACAAUAUAACAAAUAUCAAGUUUAACUGCAGCGGAAUAAGCAAUCCAUUAAAAGAGUCAAGUAGAGAAUAAAAUCUAUUAUCUUCUAUAAUUUAAAAGGUUUUUCAUAACUUUUAUUGCUGAGACUCAGCUUAAUAAAUAAACCACAUCAUCCCUGCACUACGGCCAAGGAUAUUCAUUAGUAUCACAACUACAAAUUAUCCAUGCACUACGGGCCAAAGAUAUUCGUGUAUUCAUCAAUGGUCAUGAUCAUGUCAACAACUGUCCAUCAAUGCACUACGGGCCAAUGAGGACUUUUACCACAUCAUUUGUAACAUUACGGUCAUGAUUAUACCGAAUAAUCCCUGGUCAUAAUCAUACCAAGUCCAUCUAUGCACUACAGGCCACAAAUGACUUUCAACAUAAUAUAAACAUGAGAAUGAUGACAAUGAUAUAAGAAUUCAAUAAAACAAGUUCAAGAAUUAAUUUAUCCAGGAACUAAUAACGUCCAAAUUGUCAACAUGAUACUACUUUGUGGAGAAAAAUUCAAGAAUGUUUAGAAGAAUAUUUUCAUGAAAAGAUAUUGGAUGAAGCGCAAAUAUCAAAGAUAUUCCACUAAUUUCAUGGAGUAUAAAAGCCAAAACUUUAACCAACUGAGUAUACUAAAGAAUGGAAUAACAAAAGAAAUCACCAAUCAUGCGAUAGACAGCACAGACAGGUUAUUCCAACAGAAUAAUAAAUAACGGAACCAGGUCAUGUGUAAAUGCACAGACAGGAUAUUCCAACAGAAUAAUAAGUAAUGGAACCAGGUCAUGCGUAAACGCACAGACAGGAUAUUCCAACAGAAUAAUAAAUGACGGAACCAAGUCAAGCGUAAACGCACAAACAGGAUGUUCCAACAAAAUAAUAAAGAAUGGAAUAACAGAAGAAUUACACCAUGUAUGCGGUACUUCGCAUAGACAGGUUAUUCCAACAUAAUAAAGAAUGGAAUAACAGAAUAAUUUCACAAAGUAUAGGGUAGUCCACGUAUACAGGUUAUUCCAACAGAAUAAUAAAGAAUGGAAUAACAGAAGUUCUCUUCACGAAUAUAAAAGAAAUAAUACCCCUUACGUAUACAACAAAUAAUAUCUCUUACCUUAGAAGAAACUGGAUAUAGGAGUAGUGAAGUAGCAUAAUACUUUUCUUCUUUCUCUCUAUAGUUUCUCUCUCUAGAGUUUCAGUGAAUUCGUAAGAAAUAAUGAAGGAAUGAGCUUCUAUUUAUAGGAGAAUGGACUAAAUAGUAACUAAUUCAUGAACGGUCCAGAUUGAUUUACUUUUAAACGGACGGUCCAUAUUAAUUUACUAUGCAGUAUUAAUAAAAUAUUCUAAUAAAAUAAAAUCUUUUAAAUAAAAUAUAAUAUAUUCUAUUUAUAAUCUAAUAAAAUGAAUAACUUUAUAAAAUUAUUAUGUUUUAUAUAAAAAGAUUUUACUAUGCAGGUACUAUGCAAACACUAUGCAUAAUAGAAUAUUAUAUAUUCUAUUUAUAGCCUAAUAAAAUGAAUAAUUUUAUAAAAGUAUUCUGUUUUAUAUAAAAAGUUUUUUGUUUUAUUACAUUUAUAUUAAUAAUAAAACAAAACUUAUUACCUUUACUAUAAUUCACAAUAUUAAUCGACCAGGUCGUUCCCAGGAAAGAGGGGGCUUUCCAAUAAGGAUUUCUCCUUAUUGGCGCGCAAUUAGGUGACCAAACCUCUCCUUGGCAGAACUUCUAGACAUCGUUAAUAUUUCAAAUAAUAAUAUUAAUAACUUUGUUACCUCAAUUAUUGAUUUAGUAAUAUAUAAAAUAUCGACAGUAAUUGAAUCAAAUAACGUGAGAUACUAUGCAACAAUUACUAUAGCUUGAACAAAACUGAGUGACUUCUCACGUAAGCAUCAAUAAUCAAUACCGUGUGCUACUAAGCAACCACGCGUAUUACUGUACUUACCAAGUAGUUCAACAGUUUUAACGGUAAAACUUCCGCCGUUAUUUUCAUAAAAAUAUUUUUGUUGUUUUCUCAAUUCGACAAUAAUUCCAUUGUGGAGUCCACCAAUGAUUGUGUCGUUGUACGAAUAUUCCCUACUAAAACGAAUAUUCCCCGACCAAUCGAAUAUUAUAUAACAACUUGCUUACUUUUCAAAAUUUAUAAAUAUUACCCACAACUAUAACAUUAUAUCAAAUCCACACCAUAAUAUUAAAAAAAAAUAUUUUGAGAAAUUUAAAUCUUUAUUCAUAAAAUUUGGGGUCUCACAAUCUCCCCUCCUUAUAAAAUUUUGCCAUCAAAAUUUACGUACGUACCUGGUAUGCCGAAGAGAUGAGGAUACCUUGACUUCAUUUCAGAUUCUAACUCUUGAGGUAUAACCUUUGAGUGUUGAAUAUGAUCCUUCUUAUCCGAGAUUUUAACACGUAUCUCCUCAUACGUUAAAUCUUCUGCUAUCUCGUCUAGUUCUAAUUUAAUAACGUGGUUCGGGUCAUCCACAUAUUUACGUAACAUCGACACAUUAAAAACGUUAUGAACACGCGACAUACUUGGCGGUAAAACGAGUCUAUAAGCCACAGUUCCUAUUCGGUCGAGGAUUUCAAAUGGGCCAAUUAAAUCAAGGGUUGAGAUUUCCCCUAUUCAUCGACUCUUGCUUCUAGAAUAACGCCCUCUUGAACCUUCUUCUUCACAUUCAUCAGCUCCGGGUGUGUAGCUUGAGCGGCUUUAACUUUAUCGAUUAAAGUUGAUUCUACUCGUAUAUUCGCUAUCUUCACGUGGGUCUCUAGAGUCUUUAACUCUAUCUUCAUCAUUUGUAAGUUAUACAAAAUGGGCCUUUACGUUGACAAUAUCGCACUCGUACCCGCAUAUGAUCUUCUACUCAAUGCGUCAGCUACCACGUUCACUUUUCCAUGAUGGUAUUGAAUGGUAUUAUCAUAAUCUUCAACAGCUCGAGCCAACGUCUUUAGCGCAUGUUACAUUUGCUUUAGUUGAAGAAAUAUUUAAGGGUUUUUAGAAAUGGGUUUUGUACUGGGGUCAGUACAAAAUUUGAUUUCACGCUCUGGGGUAGGCCAAGAAGUCUUCAGAAAUACAUCACGAAAUUUAUUAACGAUAGAAAUAUCAUUCACAAUUGUGACCCUCAUCCAAGACUUGGAUAGCACAUCACAUUGAUACCUAUCAACUUGCCAUCGUCAUUCACAGCGUCCCCUAUGGAAAGUUCGGCUUCGGUGCAUUCCACACAAAGAAGUUACCAGCGAAAGGUUUGGAGCUCUUUUCUUAUAUCUUGAUAUGACAAUGAUUGACUUUAGUGGUUUGGUUGCUUGAAUUCGUAUAACAGGUUGGUUAGGAAUAUAAAAGCUAACAACCUUACGAAAAUAAUCAAUUUUUGCAUGAUGAGUAGUUAACCAAUCAAUCCCUAGAAUCACAUCAAAUGCAAGUAUUUUCAAAGAGAUAAGAUCGACAGGUAACGUAAAAGUGUCGAUUGAAUUAAACAAGAUUUAAAAAUAGUGGAGUUAACGAAGGUUUCUCCCAAUAGAGUUUCAACAGAUAAUUCAAAGUCUAAUUUCUCUGGAGUCAAAUUUAAACAUUGAGCGCAAGUAGGAGAAAUAAAAGAGUGGGUAGAACUGGUAUCGAAUAAGGUAUAUGCUUUGCAAGAGUUUAUAAUUAACUUACCCGUAAUAACUUUGUUCGGGUUCCUCGAUAAACGCUCUCACUUAAACUACCAAAUUUGACUUGCUAUAGAGUACAUUCCACCCUUAAUUGCUUUAUCACAUUCCUGAUCCAUGAUUUGAAUCAUUAUUCUCUGAUCCAUAUCGAAUUGGGGUUGACCGCUCUGCACAUGGUAAUUAUGAAUUCGAUGCUGGAUUCUCCCAAUUGUUGUCCAAAAAGCAAAAUCCAUUUCAUCUAUUUUGGCCUUAUUGGAUCGGACGUCUUUUUCUACAAUAUCUACGCGUCGUGCAGCUUUUACCCAUGCAUCAUCUAUUCUCCUUCCUUCAGUUGUUUCUUCUUUCAUCAAAACUUUGAUCAUAGCAUUCUCAGAUUCCAGCUCUAAUAUCUUAUACUCUGCCAAAGAGUGCUUCUGUUCAAGCAUCGCACAUCGGGUAACAUAAUUUUGAAUUGUUACAUUUCUUUGCUCCACGACCGCCUGCCGUUCUUCAGCCUUCUCUUCUAAUUCAUGAACACGAUUUUGUAAUUCUAAAUUUAUAUCAUAAAAUUCUUCUAAUAAAUUCUCCUCAGGUUCCUCUUCUUCCUCUUCUUCCUCACUCUCAGCUGCAACCUCUGCGACUAGCUCGGGUGCAACUAUUAGUUCUUCACUCACCACGUAGAUAUCUCUAAUUUCUUCUCCAUCUGACAUCACAUUAAACUGGUUAGUGAUUAAAGGUGCCUCAACGGUCUCAUUCACUCCAUUGUUAAUAUUUUGAGCUGCCAUUUUCAAACACUGCCACGUAUUAUCAAAUACUCUAACCGACCAAUUAAAUACCAAAUAAACUUAGGUAGGUCAUACUAGCGAAGGAAUUCCCCGUCUCUCCCCUCCUAGUUCUUAUCUCACAUCUCAGCCAGGGAUCAUAUCCCUAAGCUUUGAUACCAACUGUGACGCCCCCAAAAUAGGUAUACAUCACCUAUUCUGAGUCGCCAAAUACAUUGUACAGAAUACAAAUACAAUCUUAAAUAUACAACAUGAGCUGUGAGUAUUAAUACAAAUAUUGUCUUCUAGACAGUAUUCAAACUCAAAAUAGGUCCUCAACAGUUUUAACGGUAAAACUUCCGUCGUUAUUCUCAUAAAAAUAUUUUUGUCGUUUUCUCAAUCCGACAAUAAUUUCGUUACGGGGUCCACCAAUGAUUGUGUUGUUAUACGAAUAUUCCCUGUUAAAACGAAUAUUCCCCGACCAAUCGAAUAUUAUAUAACAACUAGCGUACUUUGCAAAAUUUAUAAAUAUUACCCACAACUAUAACAUUAUAUCAAAUCCACACCAUAAUAUUAAAAAAAAUAUUUUGAGAAAUUUAAAUCUUUAUUCAUAAAAUUUGGGGUCUCACAGGUAGGCCAGGAAGUCCUUUAGGGAAUACGUCAGGAAAUUUAUUAACAAUAGAAAUAUCAUUCAAAUCUGACGUAUUUUUGUCUAAAUCCGUGACAUGGGCUAAGAAAGUUUGACAUUCGUUUUUCAAUAAACGAAUGACUUUAUGGCUUGAUAUGACAGUGAUUGACUUUAGUGGUUUGGUUGCUUGAAUUCGCAUAAUAGGUUGGUUAGGAAUAUGAAAGCUAACAACCUUACGAAAAUAAUUAAUUUUAGCAUGAUGAGUAGUUAACCAAUCAAUCCCUAAAAUCACAUCAAAUGCAAGUAUUUUCAAAGAGAUAAGAUCAACAAGUAACGUGAGGGUGCCGAUUUGAAUUAAAAAAGACUUAUAAACAGUGGAUGUAAUGAAGGUUUCUCCCAAUGAAGUUUCAACAGAUAAGUCAAAGUCUAAUUUCUUUGGAGUUAAAUUUAAACGUUGAGCGCAAGUAGGAGAAAUAAAAGAAUUGUUAGAACCGGUAUUAAAUAGGGUAUAGACUUCGUAACAGUUUAUAAUUAGCUUACUCGUGAUAACCUCGUUCGGGUUCCUCGCUUUUUGGGAGGUUACGAAAAAUGCUCUCCCUUGAACUACUGACUUUGACUUGUCUGGGACGGCCUUUGGUGUCUCUAUCCCAGCUGGACUUGUCUUCACUAAAUGACAAAAUUGGGUAAGGUGACCUUCUCUUUCACAAUUGUAACACGCUUUGGAUUGCUACGUACAGUUUAGACUGAUGUGUCCCUCCCCUCCGCAUUUGUAACAUAUGAUCGGUGGUCGUUCUCCUUCCUUGAAAACAGGUGCUGGUGCUGCUGUUCUUCCAUCAUUGUUGAAUCUCCUCUUCUUGAAAUUUCCACUUCUAUUAUCUUGGCUAGGAUUACCACUGAAGUGGUUACCAUUUUUGGCAUAUUGAUUUCCUCUACGUUUGUUGUCACCGCUUCGAUGACUACUGCCACUGGUAUUAUCAUUUUGUUGGCUGCGAUCUUUUGAUUAGGCUGACUCAUUAUCACGCUCCAAUAAUUGAGCCCUAUUCACAAUUAUCUGAAUACAAGCAAAGUUUGUGAGAAAUGAGGUAUUAACGUAUUUUGGGUUUCAAACCUCGCAGAAACAUUCGCGCCAUUCUCUCCUCAUUAUCAACCAAAUGGGAUGAAAAUCGGGAUAACUCCGCAAACUUAGCCUCAUAUUGCGACACAGUUAUAUUGUUUUGCUCCAUCUUGAUGAAUUCCACCUCCUUCAUGUGACGAAUACUUUUAGGAAAGUACUUGUCAUUGAAUAAUUCUUGGAACUUCUUCCAAGACAUCUUCAGUGCGGUAGGCUGAGUACGUUUUACAGAUUCCCACCAAUAAUCUACCUCUCCUCGCAACAUGAAGGUGGCAAAGGGAACCUUUUACUCCUCGGAGCAUCCCAAGAUAUCAAAUAUCUUGGUGAUCUACUUAAUCCACGUCUCUAUCUUAAGUGGUUCUAACUUUCCUAAAAACUUCGGUGGUCCCAGAUCUUUGAAUUGCUUAGCGGUGAUAAUCCAAGAGUUGCCAGUGUUUCCACCUGCAUUUUGAACAAGAGUCUCUCUCGCUUGGUGUUACAUGAAUUGCAGAAAGCUUCUAAACACCCCAUUGUUCAUCAUUUGGUUGGUGUAAUUAUUUACAUGAGGAUUGUUGUCUUCCUGAUGCAUAUUAUCCUAGUUAUUGAUCUGUGGUGACUCAACGGUCUCCUGUGCUCCAUUGCUUAUCUCAAUAUUUUCAGAUGCCAUUUUCAAAUACUACCACAAAACAAGGGUUAAUUGAAAUGCUACAUAUUAUCCCUAUAUUCUGUCCGACCAAUUAAAUAACAAAUAAGUUUAGGUAGGUCAUACUAACGAAGGAUUUACCUGUCUCUCUCCUCCUAGUUCUAGCCUCAAGUCUCAGCCAGGGAUCAUAUCCCUAAGCUUUGAUACCAAAUGUGAUGCCCCCAAAAUAGGUAUACAUCACCCAUUCUGAGUCGCCAAAUACAUGGUACAUAAUAUAAAUACAAACUUAAUUAAACAACUAUCAUGUAACAUAAGCUGAGAGUUUUAACACAAAUAUUAUCUCCUAGACAAUAUCCAAACUCAAAUGAAGUCCUCAUUAUAAAUAUUAUUACACGAAUUCACAGAAUAGUGAGGACUACUAAAGCAACCAUCUGGACCUUCACUCCAUUCCCCGACUAGUCCCAACUAUAUUCUCAUUUUCUGAAGAGAACAAUGAAAGCAAAAGGUGAGGUCAACUAGCCCAGUAAAGAAUAUUAUGACUAAGAUAAUGCAGAAAAAAUUAUCGUUAGCCUUCAACAGUGUUAAACUGAUAGAAUACAACAGAUAACAAGUUUAAUUAUAGCAGAACAAACAAUCCAUUAGAAGAGUUAAGUAGAGCAUGAUAUCUACUAUCUUCUAUGAUUUAAAAGUUUAUCAACAAUUUUAUCGCUGAGACUCAACUCAAUAUAUAAUCCACAUCACUGAAUUAUCUAUGCACUACAGGCUAAGGAUAUUCAUUAUUAUCACAUCCACAAAUCAUCCAUGCACUACGGGCCAAGGAUAUUCUUUAUUAUCAUCAAUGGUCAUGAUCAUGCCAACAACUGUCCAUCGAUACACUACGGGCCAAUGAGAACUUUUACCACAUCAUUUGUAACAUUACAGGUCAUGAUUAUACCGAAUAAUCCCUUGUCAUAAUUAUACCAAUCAACAGUCCAUCUAUGCACUACGGGCCAAAUAUGGCUUUCAUCACAAUAUAAGCAUGAUGAUUAUGGCAAUGAUAUAAGAAUUCAAUCAAACGAAAUCAAGGAUAAAUAUUAAAGAUUUUUAAUUUAUUUGGAGUUUAAAAAUGUCCAAAUUGACAAUAUGACAACUGCUUUGUGGAGUAAAAUUCAAGAAUAAUAUCCAUGUAUCAAAAAUAAUUUGGACAUUAAAGAAAUCAAUUUUUUGGGUGAAUAGUACUUCACCCCGUGAAUAGUACCCCGACAUGAAAAGAUUAAAAUUUAACAAGAAUGUUUAGAAAAUUAUUCCCGUGAAAAGAUACUCGAUGAAGCGCAAAUUUCAAGAAUAUUCUACUAAUUUCAAGGAGUAUAGAAGCAAUACUUAUCAACAUAAGUGUAGAAUUAUGAAUAUGAAAUGAAAUAAUAUUACUUACAUACUACAGAGAGGAAGAAAAUAUUGUUUCUUACGAAUAUUGAACAAAAUAAUAUCCCUUACCAUAAAAAGGAGAGUACUUCUAAAUGGUAUAACGGGGAUAUUUUUGAAGAAAACUUAUAUUGUUUUAUAUACUCAAAGCUUCCUUAACUCAAAAGAAAUACGCUUACUAUUAUAGAAGAAGAAUUCUCCAAUUCUAGUGUGAUUUUCAUUUCUAAACUAAACAUCCUAUUUAUAGGAGAAUGGAAGGAUACUAUUUAAGAAAAUAAUCACGGACAGCACAGAGAAAAUAAUUUCGGGUACAAUGUAUUAGUACACCAUUUGAUCAACCAAUAAGAGAAUAACCUCUUCUGAAGGUAAUUAGAAAUUGGGAGAGAUAGACCAAUGGGAGAGCGCCCUCCUGAGGAGGUAACUAACAAAGUGGGAGAUAAGGACCAAUGAGGGAGCGCCCUCUUUUGAAGGUAACUAGCAAAUGGGGAGAUAUGUACCAAUGAGGGAGCACCCUUAUUAACAAGUUAGUGAAUAGUAACUGAAUUAAUUGAAAAGUUGGCUAAUUAUCAUAACAUAAAGAAGAAUUUAUACCCUAAAAAAACUAAAUGAACAAACACCAAUUUAAAAGGAUAAUUGAACAAACAUCUUCCACUCAUCAAUUAUUAUUCUUAUCUUUAAUCAACAUAAUCUUUAUUAAUCAUUACUAUUAUAACUUAUAAUAUUAACAACCAGAUCAUUCCAAGGAAAGAGGGGGCUUUCCAAUAAGGAUUUCUCCCUAUUAGCGCGUAAUUAGGUGACCAAACCCCUUUCCUCGACAGAACUUUCUAGACAUCGUUAAUAAUGCAAAUAAUAAUAUAAAUAACUUUGUCGUCUCAAUUAUUGAUUUAAUAAUAUAAAAUAUUAUGCAGAUGAUACUGUGACAAUAAUUGAAUCAAUAAUAUGAGAGAUACUAUGCAGCAAUUACUUUGGAAAUAAUUGAAUAAAAUUGAGUGACUUCUCACGUAAGCAUAAAUAAUCAAAGAUAUUGUUCAAUACCGUGUGCUACUAUGCAACUACGCGUACUUUUGUCGUUAUUUUUAUAAAAAGAUAUUUCUUUCAUUUUCUAACUCCGACAAUAAUUCCGUUGUGGGCUCCACCAAUGAUUGUGUCGUCGUACGAAUAUUCCUUGACCAAACGAAUAUGUUAUAACAACUUGCUUACUUUGAAAAAUUUGUAAAUAUUAUCCAUAUCUAUAACAUUAUAUCAAAUCCAUACCAUAAUAUUCAAAAUGAUAUUUAGAGAAAAUUAAUCUUUAUUCAUAAAAGUUAGGAUCUUACAUUUAGUCUUUUUUCAUGAUUUAGAGUUCACCUCAACAUACUAGUACAUCCACCAUUCUUGUUUUUCUCCUAUAAUGUUAAAACAGUCUUCUAAGGAUUUAUUAUCCUUAAUUUGGCUUACUAACUCCAAUGGUAUAUGCCCAUAUAUCCUAUCUUGAUUUUUUGCAGUUUACUAGUUCAUUCAUAUUACACUUGGGUAUAUUAUAGACUCAAUUAUAUCAACUAGUGUGUUAAAGUCAACAUAUUUUAACACAUUUAUUAAACAGUCCCCUCUAUGAUAUUUUUAUGCUUUGGGGUAUUACAACUUGCUUGGGUAAUUUAUAGGUCUUAUAAUACUUUGUAGUUUUUUAUUUUUUUAUACUAAAGUAUUACAUAAUAUUGUUUUUCUUUUAUAAUGCCCAAAACAGUCCCCUCGUGUCUAUUUACGUCGGUAGCCAAGCUUGGCUUGGCCCUGUGAGGUUUGACUAAGCUUGGCGUGGCCUCAUGUGGCCUCGCGGUGCCAAACCCAGCCUAUCCGCCCCAACAGUCCCUUAAUAGGCUUUGAUGGCUUAACUUAGUAUAAUAAUUUCAUGUUUGCUAAAUUUUUUUUGUAAGCUAUUAAACUAAAUUUGGAAGCCACAGAGGGUUCCACAGUGAUACAGUAGCAACUUCUUAUUGCUGUUUCCAGCCAACUGCAGCUGUCAAUGACAACAACCCUUGCCUUUCUUUGACAACAAAAUUAUCCUCUAGUUCCAUGUGAAGUUUUAACAACCUACUUGUGACACAACUCUUAACAUCUUACUUAUCAGUUAUGCUUACGAAAAAGAACUGUUAGUGCCACUUAAGGCCAUUGCUUUUGCUGCUGCGACACGCCACUUGCUGCUAUUUGCAGCGAAAUGCCACUGCCAGUGGGCAGCAGCUGUGCUUCUCAUCUCAGGCCAUAAUCUUCAUUUAUAAUGACCCCUUUUUAGCAAAACAAAGAUGAUUCAUUCAUUUGAGAUAAAGCAUCAAUAGCAAGGCGAUAUACAACUACACAAAUAGAAUAAUUGAUAGCCCAAAAAGAACUCCCAGCAAUUGCCCAUUAGGUUUGCUGCUGCUGCCGAGGCAGCAGCCUUCCACACUGUUAACUAAAAUUCAAUCAUUAACUUUAAUUAUAACUUAUGUGUUAACUUGUCUAUACAUAUGCUUACUAUUUUGGUUUUCUAUUCAAAGCGGCCUCACCAAAUAGUCCCAACACAAUAAAAGUAGCUCAAUAUUCUAGGCACAUAAGGUGACUGCAGUAGCACAGUAUACCCAGCAGCGCGCUUGUGAACCAAUACAACUGUUGCUGCCAGCAGUUGCUCAGACCCAAACAACCCAUUUUUCUAUUUUAUGUCAUACGAACCCAUGAUCCAAUCCAAGUCAGUUGUUGAUAUGUUAUAGCUGGUAUAGAAAAUUAUUUUACAAAAAUUAUAAACAAUCCAAACUGAAAUCUUAGACAUAUGUAAUAGGGAAAUAAAAUUGCCUAGCUGCUCAAAAUAGAGAUUCCAAAUGACUUGACAUACUAAUUCCAACUUUUCAUUUUUAACUAGAAAUUAAGUUUUAUUCUAACUUUACACACUCAAUCCUUCUAGUUAACAUCACAUAUGUUUAAUAAAUCAAGCCCAAGCUUUACUUUAGUGUAGUAUUUAGUUUUCAGUCAAAACUGUUCUUUUAGGACUUUUAUCAAACAGUUGGUAGGCACAGUUUUGAGCUAUCAGUUUCACAAUCAUUGGUUUAUAUCAUGAACCCAUUUUAUCAUCCUUAUUACUCCUCAGCCCAACAUAUCUCCUUGUGCCUAAAUUCAAUCCAUAACAGUCAAAUACACAAUUAAAUAUAUGUAUAUUCAAGUAAUUGACAACUAUUUAGUUUAUAAAUCAGCUAAUUUACUAAUUUUCUUACCUUCAACUUUAUUAAUAAUACAAAUCACAACCAUAACAAUAGUAAUACUAACAUAAUAUAGUAGCCCCUUCAUUUUCUUUUUAGGCCAUUCGGCCAUUGCAGAUCACUAGUAGCAAGAAAAUGGAACGACAAAGGAUUAGAAAGAGCUUACCCUAAUAGUUCAAAGAUUACAAUUGGAUGUGCUGCUCAAUCUCUUCUCCUUCUCAGUCGGACUCCCUUUUAUUCUCUCUAUACUCUACUUACUUCUAUUUCUUGCUGGACUGAACUGUUCUACUUCUUAGAGAGUCGAUUAUAUGUUGUUUUCUCCCCCCUUUCAGUCAGUCCUAUUGCCAUUAGUUGGCCUCUACACAUCUACCCUACCAAGCUUCAAACAAUUAUUCCUAGUCUAGUCUACUUGGCCCCUACUGUCAAACCACAGCUACUCUAUCACUUCUUAUCCUUUGUAACUCUAUCCCUUCUUAUAACAAACUGCUAACUGAUGGCUAAACUAAC